rnacentral:rRNA from 1 species
ACGGCUCAGUAACACGUGGAUAACCUACCCUCAGAUCUGGGAUAACUCCGGGAAACUGGAGAUAAUACCGGAUAAUCCGUGAACGCUGGAAUGCCUUACGGUUCAAAGCUUUAGCGUCUGAGGAUGGGUCUGCGGCCGAUUAGGUAGUUGCUGGGGUAACGUCCCAACAAGCCGAUAAUCGGUACGGGUUGUGAGAGCAAGAGCCCGGAGAUGGAUUCUGAGACACGAAUCCAGGUCCUACGGGGCGCAGCAGGCGCGAAAACUUUGCACUGCGCGAAAGCGCGAUAAGGGGACCUCGAGUGCGUGCGCAAUGCGUACGCUUUUCAAAUGCCUAAAAAGCAUCUGGAAUAAGGGCCGGGCAAGACCGGUGCCAGCCGCCGCGGUAACACCGGCGGCUCAAGUGGUGGCCGCUAUUAUUGGGCUUAAAGGGUCCGUAGCCGGACCAGUUAGUCCCUUGGGAAAUCUUACGGCUUAACCGUAAGGCUGCCAAUGGAUACUGCUGGUCUUGGGACCGGGAGAGGCAAGAGGUACCUCAGGGGUAGGAGUGAAAUCCUGUAAUCCUUGAGGGACCGCCAGUGGCGAAGGCGUCUUGCUAGAACGGGUCCGACGGUGAGGGACGAAAGCUAGGGGCACGAACCGGAUUAGAUACCCGGGUAGUCCUAGCCGUAAACGAUGCGAGCUAGGUGUCACGUGGAUUGCGAAUCCAUGUGGUGCCGUAGGGAAACCGUGAAGCUCGCCGCCUGGGAAGUACGGCCGCAAGGCUGAAACUUAAAGGAAUUGGCGGGGGAGCAC